GGAAGGGGUGUAUUUAUUAGAUAAAAAACCAACGCCCUUCGGGGCUUCUUGGUGAUUCAUGAUAACUUCACGGAUCGCAUGGCCUUGCGCCGGCGACGGUUCAUUCAAAUUUCUGCCCUAUCAACUUUCGAUGGUAAGGUAUUGGCUUACCAUGGUUUCAACGGGUAACGGGGAAUUAGGGUUCUAUUCCGGAGAGGGAGCCUGAGAAACGGCUACCACAUCCAAGGAAGGCAGCAGGCGCGCAAAUUACCCAAUCCCGACACGGGGAGGUAGUGACAAUAAAUACUGAUACAGGGCUCUUUUGGGUCUUGUAAUUGGAAUGAGUACAAUUUAAACCUCUUAACGAGGAACAAUUGGAGGGCAAGUCUGGUGCCAGCAGCCGCGGUAAUUCCAGCUCCAAUAGCGUAUAUUAAAGUUGUUGCAGUUAAAAAGCUCGUAGUUGAAACUUGGGCCUGGCUGGCAGGUCCGCCUCACCGCGUGUACUUGUCCGGCCGGGCCUUUCCUUCUGGAGAACCUCAUGCCCUUCACUGGGUGUGUUGGGGAACCAGGACUUUUAC
rnacentral:rRNA from 1 species